AUUGAACGCUGGCGGCAGGCCUAACACAUGCAAGUCGAGCGAGCGGCGGACGGGUGAGUAAUGUAUGGGGACUGCCCGAUAGCGGGGGAUAACUACUGGAAACCGUAGCUAAUACCGCAUUCUAUCCGCUAACGCUUAGGUGAUUAGCUAGUAGGUGAGGUAAUGGCUCACCUAGGCGACGAUCCCUAGCUGGUCUGAGAGGAUGAUCAGCCACACUGGGACUGAGACACGGCCCAGACUCCUACGGAGGCAGCAGUGGGGAAUAUUGCACAAUGGGCGCAAGCCUGAUGCAGCCAUGCCGCGUGUAGGAAGAAGGCCCUAGGGUUGUAAAGUACUUUCAGUCGGGAGGCGUUACCGACAGAAGAAGCACCGGCUAACUCCGUGCCAGCAGCCGCGGUAAUAC
rnacentral:rRNA from 1 species